CUGCAGCCUAUUAAGCCGACCGUCCUCCUCCUCGUGGGGGCCGCUGUGCAAUGGCUGCAAACAGCAAGCCUCCUGGGUAGUGUGAAGAAGAAGAAGCAGCAGCAGCAGCAGCAGCAGCAGCAGCAAGACAUAA